rnacentral:rRNA from 1 species
AUGGCCACACGGUGGGAAAGCAAUGGCGGCGGCUUCACCGAUCCGCGGGAUGGCAAACAGUUUUUUGUGGAUCACCCUGGAGCAGUUCCUAUUUCCACCGCUCAGGAUGAAGAGCUGAAGAAGGUAAUUGGCGGACGGCCUACGUUGAGUGCAGCUCAAAAACACAGCAGAAUAUCAAGGCGAUGUUUGAUGCAGCGAUUAAGGUGGUUCCAGCCUCCGAAGCAGAAGCAGAAGAAGUGGAAGGCGCAGAAAGUAUGCACGGACAGACCAAUGGUGGAGGCUCACGGGAAUGAGUGCUGCCGCCGCCGUCCUCACCCCUGA